GGCUCAGAACGAACGCUGGCGGCGUGCUUAACACAUGCAAGUCGAACGCGAAAGGGACUUCGGUCCUGAGUAAAGUGGCGCACGGGUGAGUAACGCGUAGAUAACCUGUCUUCAUGUCUGGAAUAAUACGCCGAAAGGGGUACUAAUACCGGAUAUUCUUGCUUUUCAUAAGUUAUGCAAGCAAAGGUGGCCUCUGCAUAUGCUACUGCAUGAAGAGGGGUCUGCGUACCAUUAGCUAGUAGGUGGGGUAAUGGCCUACCUAGGCGACGAUGGUUAGCGGGUCUGAGAGGAUGAUCCGCCACACUGGCACUGGAACACGGACCAGACUCCUACGGGAGGCAGCAGUGAGGAAUAUUGCGCAAUGGGGGAAACCCUGACGCAGCGACGCCGCGUGAAGUGAGGAAGGCCUUCGGGUCGUAAAGCUCUGUCAAGAGGAAAGAAGUGUACAAUGGCUAAUACCUGUUGUAUUUGACGGUACCUCUAAAGGAAGCACCGGCUAACUCCGUGCCAGCCGCAGC
rnacentral:rRNA from 1 species